UCGGAAAACCAACGGUGCUCGGGCGAAAUCUUCCUACAUUCCCUCACAUGCAGGCUCAUCUGACACCAACACUGUUUUUCCCUCAUCACAUGACAUUUGUACUGAAAACUCAGAGGAAGAAGGGACCGCGUAUACCAGGGCAAAAAGGAAGGAGCUGAGCCUAUGGGAUACACUAAAAGAUCAGGUCUUGGAAGAGUCCUAUAAGUCCUCCGCUCCUUUCUCUGACAUGUGCUCUGUGUGCAAGAAACCUGGAGUAUACCGCUGUCUGGAAUGCAGCAGAAGCAGUGUUUUUUGCAAGGAUUGUGUCUACACAGUACACAUAAAUUCUUUGCACCUCCCUGAAAAGUGGAAUAAAACCUGCUAUGAGGCUGCUUUCCAGCAGUUGGUGUUGCAUUUAAGUGGGGAUCACAGUACCCAUGUUGUUUACUCCAGAGAUGUAAAGACUUUUGUCAACACAGGUUAAUAUGCUGUACAGAGCCCUAGUAGGAGAGUCUAUUUCCCAGUUUCGCCAUUAUCACUUCCGACGAAGGUCACUAGUUGGCCUUUGUGACCAAUUUGAUGAUGGCACAGUGUGCCCGGCAUGCAUAAAGACUGAUGGCACUGUAAUUGUGGCUUUGGAUGCCAACUUUGGUCUUGUACGAAAAAAGAGCUCUGGAAGUAGUAUCACUGAGCCAUUGCAGGGUAACAGAAUGUUUGUCAGGGAUGAAGAUGUUGAAGAGUAUGUCAGGUCAAAUCCUGACAACUGUCAACCAACAGAGAACUGUAGCAAGUUUAAAGCUGGCAAUGCACUUCGUUCCCAAAACCAGCAAAACAAAUUAGACA